UACGUAGGGUGCAAGCGUUGUCCGGAAUUAUUGGGCGUAAAGAGCUCGUAGGCGGUCUGUCGCGUCGGCUGUGAAAACCCGAGGCUCAACCUCGGGCCUGCAGUCGAUACGGGCAAACUAGAGUACUGCAGGGGAGACUGGAAUUCCUGGUGUAGCGGUGAAAUGCGCAGAUAUCAGGAGGAACACCGGUGGCGAAGGCGGGUCUCUGGGACGGUACUGACGCUGAGGCGCGAAAGCGUGGGGAGCAAACAGG
rnacentral:rRNA from 1 species